rnacentral:rRNA from 1 species
UACGUAGGGGGCAAGCGUUGUCCGGAAUCAUUGGGCGUAAAGCGCGCGUAGGUGGCCCAGUAAGUCCGUUGUGAAAGUCCAGGGCUCAACCCUGGGAUGCCGGUGGAUACUGUCGGGCUCGAGUCCGGAAGAGGAGUGUGGAAUUCCUGGUGUAGCGGUGAAAUGCGCAGAUAUCAGGAGGAACACCAAUGGCGAAGGCAGCACUCUGGGACGUGACUGACGCUGAGACGCGAAAGCGUGGGGAGCAAACAGG